rnacentral:rRNA from 1 species
UACGGGGGGGGCAAGCGUUGUUCGGAAUUACUGGGCGUAAAGGGCUCGUAGGUGGCCAACUAAGUCGGACGUGAAAUCCCUCGGCUUAACCGGGGAACUGCGUCCGAUACUGGUUGGCUUGAGUUUGGGAGAGGGAUGCGGAAUUCCAGGUGUAGCGGUGAAAUGCGUAGAUAUCUGGAGGAACACCGGUGGCGAAGGUGGCAUCCUGGACCAAUUCUGACGCUGAGUGAGCGAAAGCCAGGGGAGCAAACGGG